UGGGGAAUAUUGCACAAUGGAGGGAACUCUGAUGCAGCGACGCCGCGUGAACGAAGAAGGCUUUCGAGUCGUAAAGUUCUUUUAUAUGGGAAGAUAAUGACGGUACCAUAAGAAAAAGCCCCGGCUAACUACGUGCCAGCAGCCGCGGUAAUACGUAGGGGGCUAGCGUUGUCCGGAAUCACUGGGCGUAAAGGGUUCGCAGGCGGAAAUGCAAGUCAGGUGUAAAAGGCAGUAGCUUAACUACUGUAAGCAUUUGAAACUGCAUAUCUUGAGAAGAGUAGAGGUAAGUGGAAUUUUUAGUGUAGCGGUGAAAUGCGUAGAUAUUAAUAAGAAUACCGGUGCGAAGGCGACUUACUGGGCUCAUUCUGACGCUGAGGAACGAAAGCGUGGGUAGCAAACAGG
rnacentral:rRNA from 1 species